rnacentral:other from 1 species
UCUUCUCUGGGGUGUUCGCCAGUUUUUCAUAUCCCCUGAGCCGAUGUUUAAACCAUUGGGAUGUGUUCGUUUGUAGCUGUGUGCAUGUCCGCCCGUCGGAAAGCCUAAUGUUAUGACGCCGCAUCCCCCUUGAACCGCAGGGUUCAAGGGAGACGACGAACAGCGGCACUCUCGGAGAAACU